GUGAAAUUGUCUGCCUGCUAUGUGACAACAAGCUAAGCUCUGGGUGACUAUUCCUGUAAGACACGUCCUGUGCUUAGCGCUGCUAUUAUGGGGUGAACAGACACAGCAAAGAAUCAAUUAAAACUCUGACACAUUAAAUGGAGCUCCAAGACCUGUUUCACAGGUUUCCAGAAAGGAAAAUAAUCAUGUUACAUUAUACUUUGGAAGCCGAUUGAGGCAAGAUUUCUGAGACAAGUUCUGAGGUUUCCAAGACAGACUUUAGCUUUUCUAAAUCAUUUUUUAAGUGCUAUGUAAAGGAUUACAGCAUUCAAUUCUCCAGUAGUCCAACAGCAUCAUGGUGGAGCAAGAGGGAUUAUCCUGUGGGCAUCCUCCGGAAAACUGUAAGUUCCUUUCAAAAACUGCAUUUAAAGAAAUGAUGAAAAUAUUGCAGUGCUUACAUUUAUGCCCAUUUUGAAGUGAAAGCCAACAUUAAGGGAGGAAAAUCAGAAGCAUACUAAAACUGUAAUUCCUUUCUAUGUUAUAACAGGGCUCUAAUACAAAAAGAGGCAGCCAUUGCAUAGGAACUCCCUUUUAGGAGAAAUUCCGGAAUUUUAGGAAGUCUCACAAAAAGUGAAUGAGAGGGCUAAUGGUAGAAUAUGAAUAAAGUUUGUGGUUAUCAUGGCUUAAACUACACUUCUAUGACAGCAAGUGGGAACGUUAAUGAUAAGAACAACAUGGUUUUGGCUCAUUCAGAUAUCUGUGUAAACCAUCUCUCAGUCUCAUUGCCUGAAUAACUUCUCUCAACCUGAACAAAUAGAAGAUUUUGAAGUUUGGGCAGUAUAUUUUCAGAAGUGCUGCCUACAAAUGAGCUUCAGUGGACAUAAGGAAUUGAACUGGACCAAAGGAAGUCAAGUGUCAGCAAUGAUCAUUGUUGAGGGACCAGUAAGGCUUGCCAACACAAUUGGCGUGUCAGGAAGUGAUCUGGAGGACUCAGCUAAGCCCCAAUCUUUCAGAUUAAUUCAGAAGUAAAGAACUAGAAAGAAAAGACAACGUGACAGUAGAGUGUAGAUGUCAUAAUUUCAAGCCAUUUCACCAGGAGAGAGUCAGGCAGACAGAGAGAAAGAAAAGGAAACCCGGAAUGGAUGGACAAGACUCGACCUGCCCACUCACAUGUUCAGCUUUGGUUUAGAGCAGGACAUUUUCAGAGGAAAUGCUCUGAUGGUGCAGGAAUCCGUUCA
rnacentral:lncRNA from 1 species